ACUCAAUGUGUAGACCAGGCUGG
rnacentral:piRNA from 1 species